ACGCGCGGAACCUUACCAGGUCUUGACAUCUGAAUGACCGGUACAGAGAUGUACCUUUCCUUCGGGACAUUCAAGACAGGUGGUGCAUGGUUGUCGUCAGCUCGUGUCGUGAGAUGUUGGGUUAAGUCCCGCAACGAGCGCAACCCUUGAUCUUAGUUGCCAGCAUUAAGUUGGGCACUCUAAGGUGACUGCCGGUGACAAACCGGAGGAAGGUGGGGAUGACGUCAAAUCAUCAUGCCCCUUAUGACCUGGGCUACACACGUGCUACAAUGGAUGGUACAAAGGGCAGCAAAGCGGUGACGCCUAGCAAAUCCCAUAAAACCAUUCUCAGUUCGGAUUGUAGGCUGCAACUCGCCUACAUGAAGCUGGAAUCGCUAGUAAUCGCGGAUCAGCAUGCCGCGGUGAAUACGUUCCCGGGCCUUGCACUCACCGCCCGU
rnacentral:rRNA from 1 species